rnacentral:lncRNA from 1 species
AGCCUCCGGGAUCUGCAAGUCUGGAAAGGCCACGUUGUGGACCUUGGCGCAGAGGUUAUGGGGGCGACCCGGAGCGGAUGGUUUCAGGAAAACUAGAACCCACCCUCAUGGCCUGAACAACUGGAGAGAAGAGGAUCGCAGCAAUUUAAAGCCAGCGGCAAGGAUCACAGUCCUGGGGUCAGGUGACCAAAGCCAGUUUUUCAGCCCUUAACAAGAACCUGGCUUCACCCAGCCAAACAUGAGUUAACGUAUCCAUUUUACACACGAACAAACUGAGGCGCAGAGAUGAUCACAGCUUGUUGGUGGCAAACUCCGCUAGGGCCUUCUCUGCUACCCUAAGGAGGUCCGACCGUAUGUUUUGGACCCCUUAACUCGGGAUACCGAUAAACGAAAAUUAAUAGGGUGUUGGAUGUUUUAAAUGUGUGCGGGAAUGUCAUUAUAUUGGCUAGAAUCAAACCUUAUUUAGACUUGUUUUGCACUUUUGUACACUUUAGUAAUUUUUAGUUUUAAUCAUAAGGGAGUUAAAGGCGAACACAACUGGUAUUUUUUUUUUUUUUUUUUUUUUUUUGAGACAGGGUCUCGCUCGGUCACCCAGGCUGGAGUGUAAUGCUGCGAUCUCGGCUCACUGCAACGUCCGCCUCCCGGGUUCAAGAGAUUCUCCUGCCUCAGCCUCCCGAAUAGCUGGGCGUGCCACCACGCCCGGCUGAUUUUUGUAUUUUUAGUAGAGACGGGGUUUCACCAUGUUGGCCAGGUUGGUCUCGAACUCCU